UUGUUGGUAAGGUAAAAGCUUACCAAGGCUUCGAUCAGUAGCUGGUCUGAGAGGACGACCAGCCACACUGGGACUGAGACACGGCCCAGACUCCUACGGGAGGCAGCAGUGGGGAAUUUUGGACAAUGGGGGCAACCCUGAUCCAGCCAUGCCGCGUGAGUGAAGAAGGCCUUCGGGUUGUAAAGCUCUUUCAGCCGGAACGAAACGGUUACGGAUAACACCCGUGACUACUGACGGUACCGGAAGAAGAAGCACCGGCUAACUACGUGCCAGCAGCCGCGGUAAUACGUAGGGUGCGAGCGUUAAUCGGAAUUACUGGGCGUAAAGCGUGCGCAGGUGGUUUUGUAAGUCAGAUGUGAAAGCCCCGGGCUCAACCUGGGAACUGCGUUUGAAACUACAAGACUAGAGUGUGGCAGAGGGGGGUGGAAUUCCGCGUGUAGCAGUGAAAUGCGUAGAGAUGUGGAGGAACACCGAUGGCGAAGGCAGCCCCCUGGGUCAACACUGACGCUCAGGCACGAAAGCAUGGGGAGCAAACAGGAUUAGAUACCCUGGUAGUCCAUGCCCUAAACGAUGUCAACUAGUUGUCGGGCCUUUACGGGCUUGGUAACGUAGCUAACGCGUGAAGUUGACCGCCUGGGGAGUACGAUCGCAAGAUUAAAACUCAAAUGAAUUGACGGGGACCCGCACAAGCGGUGGAUUAUGUGGAUUAGUUCGAUGCAACGCGAAAAACCUUACCUACCCUUGACAUGUAUCGAAGCCCGCAGAAAAGCGGGGGUGCCCGAAAGGGAACGAUAACACAGGUGCUGCAUGGCUGUCGUCAGCUCGUGUCGUGAGAUGUUGGGUUAAGUCCCGCAACGAGCGCAACCCUUGUCAUUAAUUGCCAUCAUUUAGUUGGGCACUUUAAUGAGACUGCCGG
rnacentral:rRNA from 1 species